AACGAACGCUGGCGGCGUGCCUAACACAUGCAAGUCGUACGAGAAACACGACCUUCGGGUCGUGGAGUAAAGUGGCGCACGGGUGAGUAACACGUGGGUAACCUGCCCCGGGGAUUGGGAUAACUGGCCGAAAGGCCCGCUAAUACCGGAUAAGACCACAUGAGCUUUGGCUCAAGGGGUCAAAGUCGGCCUCUCGAAGAAGCCGGCACCCUGGGAGGGGCUCGCGGACCAUUAGCUAGUUGGUAGGGUAACGGCCUACCAAGGCUAAGAUGGUUAGCUGGUCUAAGAGGAUGAUCAGCCACACUGGAACUGAGAUACGGUCCAGACUCCCACGGGAGGCAGCAGUGAGGAAUAUUGCGCAAUGGGGGAAACCCUGACGCAGCAACGCCGCGUGGGUGAAGAAGGCUCUCGGGUUGUAAAGCCCUGUCAGGUGGGAAGAAACCUCUGUAGGCGAAUAGUCUGCAGAACUGACGGUACCACCAGAGGAAGCACCGGCUAACUCCGUGCCAGCCGCCGCCGUAAUAC
rnacentral:rRNA from 1 species